GGCGGAGGCGGGGGUGAGUUGGGGUCCCCUAGGGAAGCGCGAGUGACUUGAUGCUGAGGGAAAGAGCCUGAGGAAAGGGGUGCCUUCGAGGAAAGGAACCGCUUGCAUUUUUGCAACCUGGAACCCUCCUGGCAAGUGAUUUCUGGUAGGUCCUGUUUUAGGACGAGAUGCAGUACUGUUGAAACACCAGUCUGCUUUGGUUCAAACAAUCAGCUUUUUCAGCUGGGAAACCCUUUCUUGUUCCUUUUCUUUUUUUUUGCCGACUUACUGAACUUAUGAAACCAUGGCAGAAGGAGAGACAGAGUCACCUGGGCCCAAAAAGCGUGGUCCAUAUAUCUCAUCUGUCACUAGCCGGAGUGUGAACUUGAUGAUUCGAGGAGUAGUGCUGUUUUUUAUUGGAGUAUUUCUUGCAUUAGUGUUAAAUUUACUUCAGAUUCAGAGAAAUGUGACACUCUUUCCACCUGAUGUGAUUGCAAGCAUCUUUUCUUCAGCAUGGUGGGUACCGCCAUGCUGUGGCACAGCAUCAGCUGUGAUUGGGUUAUUAUACCCCUGCAUUGACAGGCAUCUAGGAGAACCACAUAAGUUUAAAAGAGAAUGGUCCAGUGUGAUGCGGUGUGUAGCCGUCUUUGUUGGUAUAAAUCACGCCAGCGCUAAAGUGGAUUUUGAUAACAACAUACAGUUGUCUCUCACACUGGCUGCACUAUCCAUUGGAUUGUGGUGGACUUUUGAUAGAUCUAGAAGUGGUUUUGGCCUUGGAGUAGGAAUUGCUUUCUUGGCAACUCUGGUCACUCAACUGCUAGUCUAUAAUGGUGUUUAUCAAUAUACAUCUCCAGAUUUUCUCUAUGUUCGUUCUUGGUUACCAUGUAUAUUUUUUGCUGGAGGCAUAACAAUGGGAAACAUUGGUCGACAACUGGCAAUGAGUACAAGUUCUGCACCAGCAUGUGGACAUCCCCUCUGUAUCAGGAAAACUCCCUUCAUGUUUCCAUUGAAAUGGAAGGAAGCAGGAUGCAGGAAUCCACGACACCGAUAACUACCGUCCACAGCUUCCCUCACCAGGCCUCAUCUUUUCAGAUUAUUUUUGCCUGUGUCCGCCACUUGCCUGUGCCUUUCAUAUGUAUCAGAAGGAAAUCACCAAACAGCCUGGGAAUCCUAUUACCAGACCUCAGGAUAUUAAUUGUCGAGUUCUCCCCAACGGUUACACAAGUGCUGAAGAAGUGGUUCUCUUUCAAUAGUGUCUUGUCAAAAUGCCAGAUACUGAAGAUGCAGUUAACAAAAUUCUGCAUAUGCUUACAUUUGCAUAAAGAAUCACUGGAAGGGCAGGUAAGAAACUGGUGACUCAUGGGGGCAGAGAGCAGGUUAUCAGACAUGGAAGAUAUCAGCCUGGUGAGGUCAAGGUUCUCAAUGUCCAUUUUUUCUAUUACUUUAAUCUUUGAGCCAUGUGACCCUUUUACCUGUUCAAAAAUUACAGUUCUCCAUAAACAGUAUUCUUUUAGCUACCAUUGUGUUCUAUGCCAGGCGCUUGAACUCUGUUCUUGUUGAAAGAGUAAGCUUCAGGUGACUCACAGACAAGAGCAACACUUUGUCACAGAAUUGUAGGUCAGAAGGAAAUAAAGGAAAGACCAAAUGUGAUGUUACCUCCUUUCUGGAUAAUCUCUCUCUGCUCCAUCUUGAGUAUAGGAUGUAAGGUUGACCUUGGACUUGCUGUAGCACAAACAAACCUACUCAUGGGCUUUGGUAAGUUCUAUCGCAUCCCAAGUCCACCAUGGUCUCACUCGACGUGUCUUUUGAUGAAGGAGGAAAACAACCUUAAAUGGUGUGCUGAAGUUAUUCUGGCAGAGCCUGGGUCUCCAACCUUUCUUUUGUCUCCAAACUGCUUGCUCAGAAGGAACUAUAACGUGGCUAAAUGGGCAGUGUGGCCCAGGACUACCCAAAGGGUCCUGAUGUGUAUUAAAAACCUGCUCAGUAUGCUGUGAAUAUCCCACUGUGCCUACUGAAGACCUGCUGUGUGCUGUACCAGGGAUACAGAGCUGAAAUAAUCCUUGCUUCUGGCAGACCAGAGAGCUCUGCUCAUACCUACUGUCUGUUUAUAGGUGCUCCUACAGAUUGGCAUAAGGUGCAGAAGAAUCCCAAAGGAAGGCCCUGUGAUACAGCCAGAGAGGUCAGGCCAUGUAAGCCUGCCCACGUGACAUGGAGGUGGGGAGGAGUGGUGAAAACAGCUUUAGAGCAACAGUCCUUGGCUCAAGCGUCCCCCCCUGCCCACAAAGCCCUCCACCUUUCCUCAACCACUCUCAUCCUUUAAGUCCCCUCCACAAAGACAAUUCAAGCAGGGCACUCUCUGUUCUUUCUCCCAUGCUGGUGUGGUGGAUAUGUCUGCCAUUGAAUCCCUAGGACCCAGCCCAAUGCUUGGCAUCCAGUAGGUGCUUGGUAAAUAUUUGAACAAAUAUUAAAUGAACAAAUAAACGAUUUGUAAGUUCUGCUCUUCAAAGCUGGCCAGGAAUUUUUGCAUCAGGAUGUUCUGUUUCUUUGGAUAAAUUUCUAUGGCAAAUGAAAAACAUUCAUGUACUUAUUAGUUUCUGAAAGAGAUUGUGCAGGAUGGAGUGUUUGAACACAUAGCCAGCAAUUUACAAUCCUGGGCUCAGGAACAGCAAUUCCCUGACCCGAUUCCAUGUAAUUCUGUUUCCUUUGCUCUGCUCCCUCCCCCCUCCCAAACUCCUCCUCUCCCCACAAAUCAUAACAAGGAAAUCAAGGAAGCCAGUCAUUUAGACACACAAACGUUUUUAAAGGGUUCUACCCUUGGUGGGUAGUACACAUAUGCCCCACUACUUUUUAUUAUUUACUCUGUGAUCUUCAGCCACUCACUUAAUUUCUCGAAGUCUUACUUGUUCCCUCUAUAAAAGAGAAAUGUUAUUUCUACUCUGUUUAUUGGCCAUGUUUAUAAAAUUCAUAAUUGAAGACCUCGUCCAUAAUAGAUGCUCAAUAAACAGGAGAUCAGACUCUCGCUUAGUAAUAGAGGUUGUUAUUAUUAUUGGUGAUGGUGACGGUGUGUGUAUGAGUUCAUUCAUCAGUCUCAGCACAUUACAAAUACCAAUCAGCAGAACCUCCUCCUUCAUCCUAGUAUGUCUAUGUGUGCAGAAAGCGGUAACGCAUCCAUGAAGAUAUUGAGAAAUUAAUUAAACGUACUAAAUGAGUGGGGUAGUGAAAUGUGAAAUCUUGGAACAUGAAGACUUGGAAAAAAUAAGACUGAAAGGAAGGACUUUUUGAAUUGCAAGGAAAAGCUCUAUGUUUUAGACAUCCAAGCUUGGGUUCAAGUACUCAGGACUCAGUUGGAAGUAAAUUCUUGGUGUCUAACCUAGAUCCUUCACCCUUCACCUUUCCUUGGGUUUUUGGCUUGUUUUUCUUUGUCCUCUCUUGCUCACUCUUCAGCUGUUUUCUCCAGGUUCUGCUUCCUGUGCCCUUCCUUAAGUAGUGCCUUCCAGGUCUUCCUCCUCAUGCCCUGGUGCAUGCCACCCUGACCCUUCAAUCACCUGAGCCAGGAUCCAGUAGUCAUGCUUGAUUUCUUUUCCUCAUUCUCUUUCAUCAAUCUCUUUAUCUUAAUAGUUUUCAAACUUUACAGUAAAUUGGCAUACUCUCAGAUUCCAGUAAUAGUAGACUUCUGUGAUAGCCCCUGACCUUCACUGUCACCCAUGCUCCCCUCUCCCAAUUUGUCCUUCCCAUUGCAGUCAGGGGGAGCCUUCCAGUGUAGGUCCUUGGUGCCCUCAGAAGAUAUGGGAUCGAACCCAGGUCUCCCACAUUGCAGGUAGAUUCUUUACCAGCUGAGCCACCAGGGAAGCCCAAGAACACUGGAGUGGGUAGCCUAUCCCAUCUCCAGCAGAUCUUCCCAACCCAGGAAUUGAACUGGGGUCUCCUGCAUUCCAGGUGGAUUCUUUAUAAACUGAACUAUCAGGGAAGCCAGUGAUGGUAUAGAAACUAGCUAUUCAGACUACAGUGCUCAUGCCUUUGGAAUUUGGGGAUUUUAAUAGCUGAGACUCAGUCAGCAUCUUCUCUUUGUCUGGAAGUCUCUUUUCCAGAUUUUGUCUAGCCAAUUCUCACUUGUACUGCAAUGUACUUCGAUGACCCUUAUGUGCCAUAUGUCCCCAUUUCUCUGUGAGCUCUUUAAAUGCAAGAAUCAUUCAUGAUUCACUUUGAUAUUUUUCAUGCGUAGUAUGGUGCUGGCAUGUUGGGGGCCAGAGUGAGGCACUCCGCCCGUGGCAAAGGUCAUGAGGAAGGAGGCUCGACAUACGCAAAGGUGGGAUCGAGCCUCAGGAGUCCCCCUGGAAAUCCUCG